UUAUUGCAAGGCAUGAAGCCUUCCACCAGCUCAGAACAGUUGAGCAACUUGGUUAUGUCUGUUUGCUCACACAUCGGUAAAACCAUUUCAUUUCUCCUUUCUUCUCCCCAGAUAUGACUUCGGUGUGCAUGGCCUGCAGUUCACUGUUCUGUCUACUGUGAAGGUAUACCACAAGGUUCUCUGUGUUCUGACUGCCUCAUCACCUUUAACUCCUUCACUUUGUUAAUCUUAAUUACAUCGACACAUGGGUCCAGAGCUUUCUUGAGUCUUUCGAAAGUAAACUCCUUAAGAUGAGUGAGGUUGAUUUCAAGGUGAGUUGUUUCUCCCGUGUUCCAUCAUGAGAAUUAUGUUAGCUUGUCAAAUAAUCUUUAAACCAUUACAUCGAGCCUGCAGAAUUUCUGCCUAUGACAGAGCCAUUUAAACACACUAAUUGAAUCAAAGAUGGAGAAGGACAAGAAUUUGUGGGAAGAAUCUGAGCGUCACUGGAAAGAGAUAAUUGAUAGAACUUUCCUAUUUGAUCGAAUAGAAACUGAGGCACAUACGAAUUGGAGCGCCCAAGAGGAAGGUGCUUAGCGUAUGAGUUUAUGGGAGCAAGCAUUCGUCAAAUUUUGAAGUGGAUAACAAUGAAGCAGUUGGACCAAACACAGUAUGAAUAGAUGACAUUUUCAGCUUCAGGGCAUCGUAACCUCUUUACGGUUCACAUAGAAGAGGGUAUGAACAUAUGGAAGUUCACAGCAGUUCUAAAUAAGCUAGAAAUGAGGAUCUUGGAUAAUGUACUCCUGAAAUUUUUCUCCAAAAUCUAUACUACUACGCCACACCAACCCUGUGGCAUUUGUACCUUAUAGCGUUUUAGUGUUUGGUGUGUGUAAAUGACUAAAGGUAUUACUUGGGAUUUUACUAGACAACGGAACACAAGAAUAGGUGUUUGCUCCAGCUCAAUGUUCCUAACCAAGUGAGUAAAACUGCUGGUGCUGGAGUUAGGGUGUAAUGCAUAUACAGAUCUAUACCAUUGAGAGUUUCAUAG